ensembl:lncRNA
GCAGGGGUCAGCCUAACUAAAUUGCAGUUUUGAGCUACAACAGAUCUUGAAAGCACCAACGCCCUAGUUGGGGCUGCCUUUCCUGCUUGUUUGUGCAAGUAAGAAAGUGCUUGAUACUUGGAGCUCUUCCCCACACUCCUGUGGAUCCGCUUCCACUUAUCCCUUCUCCCUUCUGUCCCCUCCUGUUUGGAAGAGACAUCUGCUAUUUUAAUGAAAGCAUGGAACGAAGCACUUGCCGUAAGCCCGGCGGAGCUCGACCAGAUGUUUCACAGUGCAAGAAGCUAGGUAACGGAACAAAGGUUACAAAAGAGACCUGCAGAGGUGAAAGUGAGGCUCCACAGGGCAAGCUCACAAAUUUGGAUAGAACCAAAAUGGAACAAUUGGUGAACUCUGUGAAAAACAAUCUUAGAAGUGAAAUGAGCACUCUAUAUGAAGAUAUGGGGAAAUACCUACAGUUUUUGAAAGAAAGACUCAGGGAGCUUCCCAAAAUGGUCAGCGCAGAAGAGUUUCAUCAGAAGGAAGAAGAAUGUGAAAAGCUGAAGGAACAGAAGAGAGUCUUGGAGCAAAAAUUGGACCUUGUCUUGGCCAAUGCAAUGAGAAGCCAUAAGUUCUCUGAGAACUUGAAUGACCCCUGUCGAUUAUCAGCUGUGUUGGAGAUGUACGACAGGCUCAGGAUACAUGAAUGGGAGAAAGCCAAAUGUGCUGCAAGUGUCUCCACCUUUCCAAUGACGUAUGAAAAAGGUAGCACGAUAAUUAAGGCUGUGUUUUCCAUAUGUGAAGAAGAGCUGUCACAAAGA